UGAUGGCAACAUUGAGGAAUCUAUAGAAUUAUUACAACCAGUUGAAAUUGAAGUGAUACAGCCAUCCUCUUCAAAUUGUGAAGCUACAACUAGCUACAGUAGACUACAGCUGGCUACAGAAGCUACAGCUAGCUACAUUGUUGUGGAUGAA